GGAUGUGAGGGUAAUCUGGUUGCAACAUCUGUCACCUCACUGAUAGCGAGGGUUGAUUCAGCUGAUCUGGCUAGCUAGGCAAGUAUCCCCUUUCUCCUUCACUAUUCCAUAGGCAUCCCUCCCAAAACUGCAAGCUCGGUUGAAGAGGAUGACCUUCACCAAAUAGAGGAGGAUUAGUCUUUGGUCAGGGGUAUACAAGUAGCUAUGCUCCCAUGCUAGAACCUCCAAACAAGAAAAUAUGGCCAUAUACUAAAAGAAAAUGUCUACAUUUUUCCAAUAUGGACACAGGGAAGAUGAGGGCAAAGCCAGAUAGCUUAAGUAUGUUGCAGAAUGUUU
rnacentral:snRNA from 1 species